rnacentral:rRNA from 1 species
UACGGAGGGGACUAGCGUUGUUCGGAAUUACUGGGCGUAAAGCGCACGUAGGCGGAUUUGUAAGUCAGGGGUGAAAUCCCGGGGCUCAACCUCGGAACUGCCUUUGAUACUGCAAAUCUCGAGUCCGGAAGAGGUGAGUGGAAUUCCUAGUGUAGAGGUGAAAUUCGUAGAUAUUGGGAAGAACACCGGUGGCGAAGGCGGCUCACUGGCCCGUUUCUGACGCUCAGGCGCGACAGCGUGGGGAUCAAACAGG